ensembl:miRNA
UGAGGCAGGAGAAUCGCUUGAACCCAGGAGGUGGAGGUUGCAGUGAGCUGAGAUUGUGCCAUUGCACUCCAGCCUGGGCAACAGAGACUCCAUCUCAAAAAAAAAAAAA